CAAAAAGCAGGGUCUUGUUGCCUUUUUUGAAUUUGGCUCUCGUAAACUUCAGGGAUAUUUUGUUCAUUGUUAUUGGGUGAACCUCUGUAGUCCCCAAUAUUUGCGCUAUUAUCUUAUGUCGUAUGCUGUGUAUGUUGACUUCAGAACACGAGGGAGACCG